rnacentral:rRNA from 1 species
CCCCUAGAUGUUCUGGGCCGCACGCGCGCUACACUGAACAGUUCAACAAGUCUUAACCUUGGCCGAUAGGUCUGGGUAAUCUUUGAACGCUGUUCGUGAUUGGGAUAGACCUUUGCAAUUAUGGGUCUUCAACGAGGAAUUCCUAGUAAACGCAAGUCAUCAGCUUGCAUUGAUUACGUCCCUGCCCUUUGUACACACCGCCCGUCGCUCCUACCGAUGGGGUGAUCCGGUGAAUGAUUCGGACUUCCGCAGUGCUAGCUACUAGCUUUGUGGAAGAAAGUCUUGUGAACCUUAUCACUUGGAGGAAGGAGAANUCGUAACA